GAUCUUUUGUCCACUGGGCUGUGGGGAUAUCCCUUUCCUCCUCAGCUAGGGCUAGAGGCCAAGACCAGCCCUGAGUGUCAUGGAUUCAUAGUCAUCAGAACUGCCAUGAGUGGGCAGCCCUAAUUUCCUGCCUCAGACAUUC
rnacentral:snoRNA from 1 species